rnacentral:rRNA from 1 species
AACGAACGCUGGCGGCAUGCCUAACACAUGCAAGUCGAACGAGACCUUCGGGUCUAGUGGCGCACGGGUGCGUAACGCGUUGGAACCUGCCCUUAGGUUCGGAAUAACUCCCCGAAAGGGGUGCUAAUACCGGAUAAUGUCUUCGGACCAAAGAUUUAUCGCCUUUGGAUGGGCCCGCGUUGGAUUAGCUAGUUGGUAGGGUAAAAGCCUACCAAGGCGACGAUCCAUAGCUGGUCUGAGAGGAUGAUCAGCCACACUGGGACUGAGACACGGCCCAGACUCCUACGGGAGGCAGCAGUGGGGAAUAUUGGACAAUGGGCGAAAGCCUGAUCCAGCAAUGCCGCGUGAGUGAUGAAAGACUUAGGGUUGUAAAGCUCUUUUAACCGGGAUGAUAAUGACAGUACCGGGAGAAUAAGCCCCGGCUAACUCCGUG